GUACCGUGAGGGAAAGGUGAAAAGAACUUUAAAAAGAGAGUGAAAUAGCGCUUGAAACCGUUAGGAGGAAAGCGAAUGGAGUUGCUAUACGACCGAGAUAUCUCAAACUGGCACGUAAGUUGGUUUCAGUGUAGUGAUCUCGUGUCUUCGUUCGUAGAAGACUGUCUAUCCUGGCGCGUGCUUAAAUCUCGAUAUCUUAUAUAUGGGAAAUUUAAAGGCUGUCCAGACGAACGUAUAACGACGGCUUCUAAUUUCUAGAAGAAUACUAAUCAUAGAAGUAACGUGCUUGCACGUUUAUUCUAUAUACUGUUCUUAGGACGGACGGAAGGGCUUCAUU
rnacentral:rRNA from 1 species